CUUAAAACCUCCUGGAUGGAAGAAUGCAGUAUUUCAGUGGGUAAACUCUCUUCUGCAAAGUGAGAAGCUGUCUGAACAAUCUGGACCAAGUGUGGGACGACAGAGUGAACCCACAAUGGAGGGAGUGAGUGAUGAAGACCCAUUUGUUGAGCUUCACUGUGAGGAAGUAGAGGAACCUACAUCCACUCCAUGGCUUGACAGCAAGGGUGACUGUCAACAGACUGAUGCAG